AAUUAGUUGAUGGCAGAAACACCCAGGGUACAUGAAGGAUUGUGCUGUGUUCAGCAAUCUUACUCUCUGGAUUAAAGCUUGGCUUCAGUGAAGUUAAGAUCUCCAUAUUACCCUAAUGGUAUCAGCAUGACAUCUGAAUCUGGACAGACUUAAUCUGAGAUGACAAAAGAAGUCAGAGCAGAACUGAACAAAUGAACAUCUAGGCCAAGAAGACAUUUGGAGCUGUUCCUCCCUAAGCAUAUAACUCAGGAUCCUGUAUUUUGAAGGAAGCACUGCUAGUGUAGCCACAACCCUUUGCUAGACCAAGUUCCCAGAGCACUGCAUGCCAGAGUGGCUAGACAAGUAUGGGAAGGACUGCUGCUGAUUGCAUCCCCCAGAUGAGAGUUUACUGCAGCUGCUAAAGUACCCAUUCAGCAGUGAAGACCUGGUCUCCUGCUCUGACACCCAUUGGCACCCAGAAGAGAGAA